AUGGGUAUGGAGACGGGGGUGGGGGUGCUCAAGCUACAGAGAAGGAAACGGGUGCUUUCUCGGAUUCACCCAAGGAGCGAGCACUUGCCACCAGGAUACUGGCCCGGGUUUUAUGUGGAGGCUGGAGGGGAAUGUAGGGCUCGCGAGCACAGGUUUGGGGGCCCAGAGUGCAUGGUCGCUUCCGCCCCCGAGCUACGACAAGCAGCUGGAGGUGGGCGGCUGCCGGAGUCCAACAUGGCCGCCGCGGCGAUCACGCAAGCGUGCUCUUGCUUGGGCGGAGCCUCCGGGCGCACCCCUUCCCGCCUUUGGAGGAGGGGCUUUGAACAGUGUGUGGCGCUGACCUGCGAACAGAUCGUUCAUCGCUGGAAGAAAGGCGAGUGGGCUGGGGCACUACCUAACCGUCUAAGGAGUUUCAACUCUAACCGGAAAGGGGUGGGUGGGGCGGCCCAAGAAGUUUUGGCCUGCCCCGCCCCCCAACGCCCUCUAUGCCUCUGCCGGGAUGUUCGGAAACCAGGGAUACACAAAUACCAUUGUGUUACAACUGCCUACGGUAUCCAGUACGGUGCUGCUCAGAGAUAG
ensembl:lncRNA